rnacentral:rRNA from 1 species
AUGGGGAACUCCAGCAGCAGCAGCGCCGGCGGCAGCAGGCCCCACCGGCCGACGACCUCGUCGGAGUCGGGGCUGCCGCACGCCGCCGCGGCGGAGGAGCUCAGCUCGUACGAGGCGGCGUGCCGGCACGACCCGGAGGUGCGCACCUUCGACUCCACGCUGCAGCGCCGCACCAGCCGCGCCAUCUCCACGCUGGCGGUGGGGGUCGAGGUGCGCUCCAUGUCGCUCGACUCCCUCCGCGAGGUCACCGGCUGCCUCCUGGACAUGAACCAGGAGGUGGUCAAGGUCAUCCUCGACUGCAAGAAGGACAUCUGGAAGAGCCCCGAGCUGUUCGACCUCGUGGAGGACUACUUCGAGAGCAGCCUCCACACCCUCGACUUCUGCACCGCGCUCGACAAGUGCCUCAAGCGCGCCCGCGACUCGCAGCUCCUCCUCCACGUCGCGCUCCAGCGCUUCGACGACGAGGACGACAACGCCGCCGCCGCCGCCGCGCCCGCCGCCCGGUACGCGCGCACGCUGCACGAGCUGCGCCAGUUCAAGGCGGCCGGGGACCCCUUCACCGACGAGUUCUUCGAGGCCUUCCAGGCCGUGUACCGGCAGCAGCUGGCCAUGCUGGAGAAGCUGCAGCAGCGCAAGCACCGGCUGGACAAGAAGAUCAAGACCAUCAAGGCGUGGCGCCGGGUGUCGAGCGUCAUAUUCGCGAGCACCUUCGCGGCGGUGCUCAUCUGCUCGGUGGUCGCCGCGGCCAUCGCCGCGCCGCCCGUCGCAGCGGCAUUGGCCGCGGCGGCUGCGAUUCCGAUAGGGUCCAUGGGGAAGUGGAUCGACUCGCUGCUCAAAGGGUACCAGGACGCCGUCCGUGGGCAGAAGGAGGUGGUGAGCGCAAUGCAGGUCGGCACGUUCAUCGCCAUCAAGGAUCUGGACAACAUCAGGGUGCUCAUCAACCGGGUGGAGAUGGAGAUCGGCUCAAUGAUCGACUGCGUGGAUUUCGCGGAGCGGGACGAGGAGGCGGUCAAGUUCGGGGUGGAGGAGAUCAAGAAGAAGCUGGAGGCCUUCAUGAAGAGCGUCGAGGACCUCGGGGAGCAGGCUGACCGGUGUAGCCGAGACAUCCGCCGAGCAAGGACCGUCGUGCUGCAAAGGAUCAUCCGGCAUCCCAACUGA